rnacentral:rRNA from 1 species
CCUACGGGAGGCAGCAGUGAGGAAUAUUGGUCAAUGGACGAGAGUCUGAACCAGCCAAGUAGCGUGAAGGAUGACUGCCCUAUGGGUUGUAAACUUCUUUUAUAAAGGAAUAAAACGUGGCACGUGUGCCUUUUUGCAUGUACUUUAUGAAUAAGGAUCGGCUAACUCCGUGCCAGCAGCCGCGGUAAUACGGAGGAUCCGAGCGUUAUCCGGAUUUAUUGGGUUUAAAGGGAGCGUAGAUGGGUUGUUAAGUCAGUUGUGAAAGUUUGCGGCUCAACCGUAAAAUUGCAAUUGAUACUGGCAGGCUGGAGUACAGUUGAGGUAGGCAGAAUUCGUGGUGUAGCGGUGAAAUGCUUAGAUAUCACGAAGAACCCCGAUGGCGAAGGCAGCUUACUAAACUGUGACUGACAUUGAUGCUCGAAAGUGUGGGUAUCAAACAGGAUUAGAUACCCGGGUAGUC